UACCUACAACUGGAGUGCUGUCUAAUGC
rnacentral:sRNA from 1 species